GGGUUAUCUUUGCAUGAAGUUCCCGCUACAGCCGCGCAGUCGGCCGUUUGCUGUCGGCGGUUGAGGAGCUGUGUACAAGCAGUUGCUGCGGGCUGGUCCCAGUACGUUGCACCGACGGCGAUGGACUGUGUUCGUAGUAAUCAACGCGACAGAUUGCUGAGCAGAUUGAGGACUAAGCUGAUAAAUUUCCUUCGCGUAAGGAAACAUGAAUAAGCCGACGAGAAUGAACGCCACAAUUAGGCCAUCGCCAGCCUCAGCUAAGUACCGCAAAAUGAGGUAUAGUAACAGGCCUGAAAAGGAGAAAAGGCCGAAAACUGAUGAUCCGGCAUCUGGCCACACUCCAAAGAAAGCGAAAAUGGAAGCCCCCAUCAAUAACAACGAAGAAACUGAACCUAAACGGGAAAUAACUGCUCAAAAAGUUGAAGAAAAUUCAUGUAAUGAAUCUGGAAGCAUUUAAGUACAUCAUUUUAUUAUGAACUUAAAGUAAUUAUAUGCACUGAACUAAUGGUUAAUUCUUAUGGUUUCUGUGAUAAUUUAAGGAAAUAUCACUUCUGUCAUACAGUUUCAGGUUUUCUUUCCAGUCUUUAGGUUUCACUCAAUUAUUGUAACAUCAGACCAUACUAUUAAUACCAGAAAUACAUCAUAUUUGGGAAUUUUUUGAUGUAUGGAGGAUAAGUUUACACUUUACCUUCAGAUUUUUGCCUAUAUACAUGCAAGUGAAGCGAGUUUCCGUGUAAUAUUGCUUACAUUCGCAUACUGCUUGAUGUGGUCGGACUUAGGCUGAGAAAAAGGGCUCUGAAAUGGAGUGCCUUCCAAAAUGUGAUGAGAAUACUUACGUUGAAAUGACCUCUUAUUGUUCGGUGCAUGUUCAUACACAGACUAAAUCUGUAAUUUGCAUUGCAUGAAAUAAAUGUAUAUUCCACUGCA